rnacentral:rRNA from 1 species
GGGGGAGCAUAGAGUGGCGAACGGCUGAGUAACACGUGGGCAACCUGCCCCCCGCACCGGGACAGCCUCGGGAAACCGUGGUUAAUACCGGAUACUCCGCCACCCCCGCAUGGGGGCGGCGGGAAAGCCCAGGCGGAGGGGGAUGGGCCCGCGGCCUGUUAGCUCGUUGGCGGGGUAACGGCCCACCAAGGCGAUGAUGGGUAGCCGGGUUGAGAGACCGACCGGCCAGAUUGGGACUGAGACACGGCCCAGACUCCUACGGGAGGCAGCAGUGGGGAAUCUUGCACAAUGGGCGAAAGCCUGAUGCAGCGACGCCGCGUGCGGGACGAAGGCCUUCGGGUCGUAAACCGCUUUCAGCAGGGACGAGGCCGCGAGGUGACGGUACCUGCAGAAGAAGCCCCGGCUAACUACGUGCCAGCAGCCGCGGUAAUACGUAGGGGGCGAGCGUUAUCCGGAUUUAUUGGGCGUAAAGCGCGCGCAGGCGGCCUGCUCGGUCGGGAGUCAAAUCCGGGGGCUCAACCCCCGCCCGCUCCCGAUACCGGCGGGCUUGAGUCUGGUAGGGGAAGGCGGAAUUCCCAGUGUAGCGGUGGAAUGCGCAGAUAUUGGGAAGAACACCGGUGGCGAAGGCGGCCUUCUGGGCCACGACUGACGCUGAGGCGCGAAAGCUAGGGGAGCGAACAGGAUUAGAUACCCUGGUAGUCCUAGCCGUAAACGAUGGACACUAGGUGUGGGGGGAGGAUCCCUCCGUGCCGCAGCCAACGCAUUAAGUGUCCCGCCUGGGGAGUACGGCCGCAAGGCUAAAACUCAAAGGAAUUGACGGGGGCCC